ensembl:lncRNA
GGGACUUGGGACUGGCCAUGACAUGGAAAUAUUGCGUGUAGUUAAGAUCUGCACACUCCAGUGAGAUAGUUAAUGUGGUUAAAAUCAAUGGGCUGUGCUAAUUUACCUCAGCUGAAGCCUGCAUUUCACAUGGCUUUUCAGUUCUUCUUUUAAACUCUAUUAAUUCCAGUGUUUAAUUGCAAACAAACUAGAUGAUGGAUCAGUUAAAGAAAAAUAUACUGUAAAUGGUCAAGGAUUUAGCCUGUGCUAUCUCUAUGAUUCCCAUGCAGAUCUUUCAGACCAGUUAUUUGCAUAUGUUAAAAUCUAAUUUGAAUUGUUCAUCACAUAGAACUAGGUAAGUUUUGGGGUUUUUUUAAUGAGAGAUGUAACUUCAGGGCACUAUUAAAUUCUAAUUAAAAAUCAGUCAAAAGCACCCUUUUCUUAGUGUUUGUGCCUGCAGCAACACUUCCACUGUGGUAUCAAAAGCUCAGUUCAUUACUUCUUAAUUAAUUUUGCCUUGAGAAGCUCUAAGUUCUCAGAGGACCUGUUGGGUUUUUAGAGUGUUGUCUACAUAGUGUUUGCUUGUACACAGCAGCCACAAUGACAUUCAGAUCAGGAAUCCUUACCCAUGUAAUCCAAUUUGGUACAAUGUCUGCAGCCUGCCAGCUUUUGGGAACCUGAAAGAUGCCUGAAGUUCACAACACAGAGGAUAUCUUGCCUGGAGCUACUGGUAUGGUAGGGAUUUUCCCAUCUCUCUAUUCCCAGUGUGUCUGUUUUAUAGUUGAAAAGGUUGGUAUACAAGUUGAUUGAUUUUUUUGUGUGUGUUUUGGGGUUUUUUUUGGUUUUUUUUGUGUCAUUUUUAUUUUUAUUUUUUUUAUUUUUUUUAAGGAAGAUCAUGAUGAAUAGAAAACUAGUCUUGCUCCUGUCCCCAAAGAAAUCUUGUCUGAAGUACUUGAGUCAGCCAAGACUUUUUCCCUCUACCAGGCUACUGGAGAUGUGCAUGUUUGUUUUUUUUUCAAGAUAAGUAUCCUGCAAUCCAGAUCUCCCACUGCAAAUGAUUCAUUUCCCCUCUUGGCCCAGCUGUGUGCGCACGUGUGUGGUGGUGGUGAGCCAGAGCUGACCAGUGCCCUGGGACAAAGAGAGGAAAAGAAGGCAUUGUUCAGUUUUGAAGAAAUCCUAAUCUGGAUCAGAGAAUUUCAAUCUUUCAAAGGGAUGUUAGCAGCAGAGUAGUUUGCCUCUGCCUCAGUCUCCUCCCAGGUCAGGUUUUUCUCAAGAAAGAGAGGUUUUCUAUGCAGUUGUUUCAUAAUUUGCUGCCAGAUCCCAGAAACUGCAGAACGGACACAGACAGAAGCUCAAGAAGAAAUUCUUUCACUGAGCAAGGAUGCAUUGGCUCCCACCUGAUAUCCAGGAAAACUGCACAGGAACAGUGAACCUCACCCUCUGCAGGGAAUCUGGAAGAGGAGCACAGGCUGCAUGCAAGCUGCCUCUCUGCUUCUCCCAUCUCUGGACAGCAGCUCAGGGCCAGGGUUAGUUUCCCUGGAGUUACACUCCUUGAGGCAGUAUUAGAAAGCCUCACCUGCAUGGUUUUGCCCCACAUAAUCCCCAGCCAAAUCCUUUUCUUUAACAGAAUUAAAGAAAAUUAUUUGAACUGCACCUCUAUGUUUCCUGCACCUACACACAGUGUUUAUGGUUCAGCUGGAGAAGAAGAAGUUCAACAAAUGGUCAGUUAAAUUAAACUAGAAAAAGGAUAGCCAGUGGGAGCAGGGAAGAUAAGGAAAGGCUCUAUUGGAGAUGGUACACUGUGGUAUCCCAGCUAAUCCAGAUGCUGAUGGAGCUGGUGAUGGCUGUUCUGUGCCCUACAGAAGCACAGAAAUAGGUGGCCAGGAGUCACCUGUUCCAAGAGUCUCCCCUCUAUUUUGGAUUCAGUUCUGAGUCUAAUGUCCACUGCUGCUCAGUGAGUGUGCACAUUUCAUCAGUGUUCGUGCCAUUUCCCAUGCCUGUCACCCACCCCAGACAUGUGGGCCACCCUGCAGCAGACACUCCAGCUUGUGGAGACUCUUGGGCCAAAGAAGUGUCCUGAGUCCUUCAGGAUGCUGAAGUAAAGCUGCAGCAUUGGCAGAAGCCCUGGUGUGACAGCUCCAGCCUCCGAGGGGAUCCAUGCUCUCCUCUACCUGCAUUAGCCUUAUAUAAUGUUUCAGCUGCAGCUAGUGUGACACUGGCACCUUUGUGUCACCG